rnacentral:rRNA from 1 species
GACGAACGCUGUUGGCGUGCCUAACACAUGCAAGUCGAGCGAAGUGAGUACUACGGUACGAACUUAGCGGCGGACGGGUGAGUAACGCGUGGACAAUCUACCCUGUAGACUGGGAUAACACCUCGAAAGGGGUGCUAAUACCGGAUAAUGUCGAGAAGCGGCAUCGCUUUUCGAAGAAAGGAGAGAAUCCGCUAUAGGAGGAGUCCGCGUCCCAUUAGCUAGUUGGUGAGGGUAACGGCCCACCAAGGCGACGAUGGGUAGCCGGCCUGAGAGGGUGAACGGCCACACUGGAACUGAGACACGGUCCAGACGCCUACGGGGGGCAGCAGUGGGGAAUAUUGUGCAAUGGGGGAAACCCUGACACAGCAACGCCGCGUGAGCGAAGAAGGCCUUCGGGUUGUAAAGCUCAAUAGUAUGGGAAGAUAAUGACGGUACCACACGAAAGCCCCGGCUAACUACGUGCCAGCCGCCGCAGUAAAAC